ACUCUUCAUCCACCCAGAUGCCAUGGACCUGGGGCGCCGGGACCCCUGCUGAAGGAUCCACUCCUGCAGGCACCCCUAGAGUUCAAGGCUGUCAGGCUGGACAGGCCUUGAGCAGAGACUCUCUGGGGUUUUCAAAGAAAAAGCCUGAACACAGGAGCCUUCCGGCCGUCUCUGAGAGGAGGUGCCGAGACCCAUCUUGUACUAGUGGGUGGACGUGUCUUGAAGGUGCUCUGGUCCUGCCUGAGACCCAGCUCCAUGGCCAUUCAUGGUGAAGCUUUUUCUCCACACUCCACUCCUGUGUGGCUGUGGAAAGCUCUCCCGCCAACUCCUGGGACAGUUGUG